rnacentral:rRNA from 1 species
AUGCGGAAUCACUCGGAAAUCCGGCGAUCCGACAAAUGUCUCCUCCGGUGGGGGUGCGACAAGGCGGAACAACCACAACAGGAGCUGGCGCUGGCUUCAGGCUUCAACAUGGAGGAUGCGGAGGCUGAGUUCACCGUUGCCCAAGCGACCGAGAUGGCGGAGCAGCAGGCAAUCCGGGAGUCCAUCCAGUAUGAGGCCUAUGUAGAGGCCAAUCCGCAGUUCAUCCGACAGGAACUGGUGGCGACCGGUGCGCUCUUUGACGAGGACGAAGCAGAGAUUGAUGCAGAGGCCGACGCGGAGGAGCCGGGGAGCUAG